CCUCCAGAAUUUGGGCAGUGACGAGCACAAGAGGGAGGUUGAGGUGGGGCUAAGAGUGGCUCAGCACUGGCCUGAAGGCACUCCUCAGCUCGAACAGCCUCGGCAAUGUGGGCACAGCUAACCACAGUGCGUCUCUCUCAGCUGCUGAGAGCUGAACAGACGUUGGGAUGACCUGCCUGCAGAAAGGAGUUACCCACUGCAGUUCUCCUCUGAGCUGUACUGUUGCUCAAUAAAGCACCUCUUCACCUUGCUCACCUUCUACUUGCCCACAUACCUCAUUCUUCCUGGACUCAGGACAAGAACUCGGGACCUGCAAACUAGCAGGGCUGAAAGAGGUGUAACAUAAACAGGGCUGAAACGCCCCCCUUGCUUGCCAAAUUGCAGGCAAGAAGAAGAGAAGAGAGAAGGAGACAAGAGCUGUGGCCCUUCAGGGAGCCCAGACCUAGGAGCUCCCCAAGCCAGGGCUGUGAUGCCUUCUUUGGGGCUCUGCAGUUCCUGCAUCUCCAAGUUUCUGGGCGCCACUGCAUUCCCUGAUACACACAGUGGAAGCUGUUUGCAGUCGGUCUGGUCCAGCUGCAGCCUCACAGGGAGCUGGCACCUGUGCCUGUACCUGGAGCUGCCCACCUCACUGCAGCUGGCAUGCUUGGCUGUGUGCAGUGGCCAGAUCCCAUGCUUGCUUGCUCACACACCCUUCACUGCUCUGUACCCAGCUCACCCUUGGCAGGUGUGGGAUCCACACCACUAGCAUGAGCCGAGUGGACGGAACGAACCCAGUGGGCCCGAGCAAAACACAGAAGAUUUUCAGAAAAUAUUAAAAAAUAAUGGGAGGAGGAGCCAAGAUGGCCGAAUAGGAACAGCUCAAGUCUACAGCUCCCAGCAUGAAUGACGCAGAAGACCGGUGAUUUCUGCAUUUCCAUUUGAGGUACUGGGUUCAUCUCACUAGGGAGUGCCAGACAGUGGGCGCAGGACAGUGGGUGAAGUGCACUGUGCACUAGCUGAAGCAGGGUGAGUCAUUGCCUCACUCAGGAAAGUGCAAGGGGUCAGGGAGUUAGCUCCCUUUCCUGGUCAAGGAAAGGGGUGACAGACAGCACCUGGAAAAUCGGGUCACUCCCACCCUAACACUGUGCUUUUCUGACGGGCUUAGGAAACGGCACACCAGGAGAUUAUAUCUGGCACCUGGCUCGGAGGUCCUACGCACACGGAGUCUCGCUGAUGGCUAACACAGCAGUAUGAGAUCAAACUGCAAGGCAGCAGCAAGGCUGGGGGAGGGGCACCGGCUAUUGCCCAGGCUCUCUUAGGUAAACAAAGCAGCCAGGAAGCUCGAACUGGGUGGAGCCCACCACAGCUCAAGGAGGCCGUCCUGCCUCUGCAGGCUCCACCUCUGGGG
rnacentral:lncRNA from 10 species